rnacentral:rRNA from 1 species
GGGGAAUAUUGGACAAUGGGGGAAACCCUGAUCCAGCGACGCCGCGUGAGUGAAGAAGUGUUUCGGCAUGUAAAGCUCUAUCAGCAGGGAAGAAAAUGACGGUACCUGACUAAGAAGCCCCGGCUAACUACGUGCCAGCAGCCGCGGUAAUACGUAGGGGGCAAGCGUUAUCCGGAUUUACUGGGUGUAAAGGGAGCGUAGACGAUUCUGCAAGUCUGGAGUGAAAGCCCGGGGCUCAACCCCGGGACUGCUUUGGAAACUGUGGGACUAGAGUGCAGGAGAGGUAAGUGGAAUUCCUAGUGUAGCGGUGAAAUGCGUAGAUAUUAGGAGGAACACCAGUGGCGAAGGCGGCUUACUGGACUGUAACUGACGUUGAGGCUCGAAAGCGUGGGGAGCAAAC